rnacentral:miRNA from 1 species
ACCCAUGAUGAUGAUGAUAGUUGUAGAUGAGAAAGGUCGCCAUGCAUUAUUUCGAAUUUGUCGAGGAAAAAGAAAAGUCGAUGAUUAGGACCAUGAGAUGGAAGAGGGUGGUUGUCUCGUUAUGGUGUUUGUGU